UACGUAGGGGGCAAGCGUUGUCCGGAAUCAUUGGGCGUAAAGAGCGUGUAGGCGGCCCGAUAAGUCCGCCGUGAAAGUCCAGGGCUCAACCCUGGGAUGCCGGUGGAAACUGUCGGGCUGGAGUCCGGAAGAGGCGAGUGGAAUUCCUGGUGUAGCGGUGAAAUGCGCAGAUAUCGGGAAGAACACCCGUGGCGAAGGCGGCUCUCUGGGACGGUACUGACGCUGAGACGCGAAAGCGUGGGGAGCGAACAGG
rnacentral:rRNA from 1 species